UAGUACAUUCAAGCCGCAGCCCUCAAAACAUACAUCACGCCACGAUCCCCUUCCUGUUCCCCACGCACGGGCGGUUGCCGCCGGCGUCGCCGCCGCCGCCUUCCUCGCUGAGUCCGCGGCCGAAAUCCACGCCGGGAGAAGAGGUAUCUAUCCCUCCGACGCCUUCCUCUCCCUCAAGCCUCGACCUCGCCGGCAUCCCUCCUCCCGUUCCAAGUCCAGGAGACGCAUGGGGACGGCGGCGGUGGCGAGGCGUCUCGCGCGCACGGACACCCCCACCCUACGCCUGCUCGUGCGCGCUGCCCUGCGAGGUUUAGGCAUCGCGCCUGCUGCGCUCCCCUGUGGCGAUGAUGUGGCUUACUGCUGCCAUACGGCGCCUCAUCGAGGAGUAGAGCAGCUGCCCCAUGCUAGACAAGAUCCUCCAGAUCCUCUCCACCCAGCCGCCAUCAUUGCAGGAGGACUUUAACGAGUGGUCACCAAGAAGCUUCCCCAAAUCCUACAAGAGGCUCAGUUUAAUUGUGUGAUUGCUGAGUGGUCCAGUGAGUAGUGCUUCUAUAAGCAAGGGAAUGAUAGAAUGAUGCACGAUUCUGCAGGUUAGACGAGCCGCUGACAAAGACACACCUCUAUUCUGAAUUUUUACAUGCGAAGAUGGACCAUCAGCUACGGAAUAUGUUGGCUAACCUCUCGCAGGUUGCUAACAAUUUUUUUCUUAUUGUCAUCUUGGUAAUUGACAUUGGUGGUAUUGUCUUUUAGUUCAACAGAAAGUUGUUCAAGUGAAAAUUCAGAGGAACAUGUGGAACAAAAGACAUGGUAUAAAAAGGAAAGGAAAGACUAAACAGUACAAUGAUGCAGGUUUGGAGCCGACCAAGGAAGUCACAGUUUAAGAGCUCGAGGAGGGGUGUGUGGAGGUUGCCGGCGCCAGUGGCUGCACUGCUGGUCUUCAUCGCCUGUUUCGGUCAGAUCCAGUCGGACCUAUCCUAUGGGUUCUCCACCGCUUCACUCUGCUUCAUGUGCAUCUGGGCGGAGAAGAUGACCCGACCUGCCUGGUCGCUCAACACUGCCUCCCUGCCCCUGUUGUUCGCCAGCCACACUCUCCCUUAUGCGCAGAAUGUCCAUCAUCACAGAAUCUUAGCUGAUAGACGGUGCGCUUUUUGGCGGAAGCUGAGACAAAGAUUUCUAUUCGCCAAAAAGAUAGAGCCGCCAUCAGCAAGCACUGACGAGUAGCACAGUCUCAGCCGAUGCAUCGACGAGCUGAGGCGGGCUUCCAAUAGAGAUCAGAAACAGGGAAUGGCCUUUUGAGCUGGUAGAGGGAUCACUAGACAUGGUGUUCAUGUUUCUGUUGGCUUACAUGCAGAAAUAAGGAGGAUAGUAAGACUCUUGGAGGUCAUGUCUCUGCCAUUCAAGGAUUUCGAUAUCUGAAUGUUAUGACAAUAUAUAGAUAAGGGAGAUAGCCCUCCGCGUCCUGGUGGCUACUGUAUGCUGCAGCGAAGGGCACACUUCAAUUACUGUGCAGGCAGAUGCGGUGAUCCCGGGUGUGCUUUGAAUAGAUAUCAAGGACGUCAUUACCCGAGCCGUUCCUAUGAUUGAACAUGCGACCAAGGAAUGAAAACUCUUCUCCAGAGAUCUUCAAAAUAGUACAAUAUCAGAUACACAUGCCUGAAUCUGGAUACACUCCACUGCUGAUGGUAAUACUUUCCAGUCACUCACAAACAAUAAGCUUCAGCAUACAAGGCAGAGUCCAAUGCUAUUGGAUUGGGGUGCUGCAUUGCCGCCAACACCAAACACAACCAGCCAUCAGAACGUCUCCUCCGCGACCCUCAAAAAAAAAUGUCUCCUCCGCUAGCAUCAGCACCGAGCAAAGACAACAAGCUAUCAGGUGAGUUCAUCAUUAUCUCCUUCAACCUGCCAAGCCAUCAGGUGAGUUCAUCAUUAUCUCCUUCAACCUGCCAUGUAUAAAUUAAAAAAUAAUACAUUGAUUUUAAAAAACUUAACCUUAUUUCUGACGUUUGCAAAAAUUGGAUUAAAAAAUAUUGCAUAAUGGCACGUGGAGCAGGUUAUAUUUCAUUUUUUGCCCGGUGCAACGCACGGGCAUUUGUACUAGUUAAGAUAAAUAGGUUAGUGGGGAUGAAUCUCUUAGGUAUAUAUGAUUCUAACGCAAGUUGUACACCGGUUGUUUUUAGUUGUAGUUCUAUAGCCUUGAAAUGAUAAUCUUGAUUAAUUUUUUCUUAUCGCUGUUUUUGGGUUUAAUUUAAAUAAUUCCAAUCCCUACAGUAGAUACGGUUGGCCAAAAUAAUUGGUGUAUCCACCAUUAAUUUGCAUGGUUUUAAUGCUGAAGAUUUCUUUUGCGGUAGGCUUAAAGUGUUGUCCUCACAAAUCUUGAAUGUGUAUCCUUGUAGAAUAUACUCCUCCAAAUACUGAACAGGUCAUGCUCCAUUUAUCCUCAUGUAAACUUUCCUCAAGCUGGCCAGGCUACAGAUAAAUAGAAGGCAAUCUUCUCAGUCCACGGUGAGCCUUCUUUGAUUGUUGUAAGUUCAGUGGAUUUCAAAACCCAGAAAAAUUAGCGUCUGUUUGAUCUAUCCCCGACCAACACAGAGGACUGAGUAACAUCACAAGGCUGGUAAGCAUUAGUGGUUUACUUAUUUAUUCCACUUAUUUUCUCUUCUCAAUGCACUAUUGUGCUCUAAUCUGCUACGGAGAAGUUGGUAUAAGAACUUGAUUUUUUAUGAGAUAUACCUAACAGAUUGCAACCGUGCACAGGAACCAGGAUGCAAUUGUUUAUAUGCACCCCAUUGCUUCAUCAUCCCAUUUCUAUUUUCCAUUAGUUUGCAUUUACAUGCACCUGAUAUUGUACACUUCUAGAUAUAUGCUCCAUUGUUUCAUUCAUUGAUCGAAUGAUUGUCGUACAAGCAUAGGAGGUAAUGCUCCAGAGCAAGGGUCUCAAAACUAUGCAAACGAUUUUUCGAGGUGCUGGUGCCAUGUUGUCGAUUUAACUUGGUCAGGAAACCCCUUCACCCACCACAUACCAGGCAAGAUGUUUUUAUUGCCAAGUGACUAAUCCGAUUGGAUAUUUUCUGCUUUUCUUUGCCUUUGAAGCUAUUUGCUUUCUUUUUUAGGAAAUAAAAAUUUGGAAUAACUGUGGAAGAACUUUAUUGUAGGGUGAAGAUGAGAAAAUUUGUAAACAAGGGCCCCUCUGGGUCGCACGAGAUGGAUGGAUUCUCACUGCAUGUUACUGGCAAACAUUGUAGCUUUUCAACUUCAGGCAACAUGAUUUUGAUCAAGGAAGGAAGCGGCUAUUUUGAUGAUAGUGCAAUGCAGGAUACCGGUUCUUAGAUCUGACUGUAUUGUAAUGUAGUACAUUACUAUGAUUUUUUUUCUUGCUAUUGUACACAUCUAGAAUAGACAACAACAAGAUGGUCUACCUACAAGAAGUUCAGUUCAGAAACUACAUGCAAAUGUUAAAAUUUCCAAAUGUUUGUGACAGAGUAAAAACAGGGAAGGGAGAGAAGGAACGACCAAGAUGCAAGCUUUGUGCUACCACUCAAAUCACAUAUGGCUUACAAUCUUGCUUACUCAAUGUUCAGAUUAUUGUAAUUUUUGCACCUAAAAGGUCUUAACUAUAUUAACCAUGUAUAUUUUUCAUAUAUUAACAGCUAAGUUCUUAAAAUUCUAUGAAACAACCACAUGUACCGCAUGAUCUACGCUACACAUAGCUGAGUUAGCACUACCUUUUG